UACGUAGGGGGCUAGCGUUGUCCGGAAUCAUUGGGCGUAAAGCGCGUGUAGGCGGCCCGGUAAGUCCGCUGUGAAAGUCGGGGGCUCAACCCUCGGAUGCCGGUGGAUACUGUCGGGCUCGAGUACGGAAGGAGGCGAGUGGAAUUCCUGGUGUAGCGGUGGAAUGCGCAGAUAUCAGGAGGAACACCAAUGGCGAAGGCAGCUCGCUGGGACGGUACUGACGCUGAGGUGCGAAAGCGUGGGGAGCAAACAGGA
rnacentral:rRNA from 1 species